GUUGACCUCGGAUCAGGUAGGAAUACGCGCUGAACUUAAGCAUAUCAAUAAGCGGAGGAA
rnacentral:rRNA from 1 species